rnacentral:rRNA from 1 species
GAUGAACGCUGGCGGCAUGCCUAAUACAUGCAAGUCGAGCGAACGGACCAGAAGCUUGCUUCUCUGAUGUUAGCGGCGGACGGGUGAGUAACACGUGGAUAACCUACCUAUAAGACUGGGAUAACUUCGGGAAACCGUAGCUAAUACCGGAUAAUAUUUUGAACCGCAUGGGUCAAAAGUGAAAGACGGUCUUUCUGUCACUUAUAGAUGGAUCCGCUCUGCAUUAGCUAGUUGGUAAGGUAGCGGCUUACCAAGGCAACGAUGCAUAGACGACCUGAGAGGGUGAUCGCAUAGAUUGGAAGUGAGACACGGCCGCGACUCUGAGGGUGGGCAGCAGCAGGGAAUCUUACGGGAGGGGGGAGUGGGUGACGGUGCAACGCCGCGGGAGGGAUGAAGGUGUUAGGAUCGGAAAACUCUGUUAUUAGGGAAGAACAUAUGUGUAAGUAACUGUGAAGAUCUUGACGGUACCUAGUGAGAAAGCCACGGCUAACUACGUG